CACGGGCUGCCGAACUAACGAUGUCACUCACAGGCUGCCGCUGGGGCGUCCUCGCUCUCCUUGCUGGCCUCUGUUCCACCGCCGCGUGGGGGGUAGCAGACGUGCUCGGGGCCCCCCAGCUGCUCUUGCAGCCACCAGCCCCGAUUCUGCCACAAACUUUGUGACCAGGAUGGUGGCUUGCUUGGAGUUCUGUCUGAGGCUGAUGGGAGUGAGCAUGCAGCAGCAGCUCACUCCAGCC